rnacentral:rRNA from 1 species
AUGGCGGCGAUUCGGUGCGCGGCCAGGAGGCUCGGUGGCUCCCUGCUCCAGCGGACGCAGGCGGCUGUCGCGGAGGAGGGACGCCGGCUCGCGCCAAGCAGGCUCAUGCGCUCCCGCCAGCUCUCCAGCCAGGUCUCCGGCGAGCGUGCUGGCAAGAUCCUGAAGAAGGAAGAGCUGGACUGGGAGGAGAUGAAGGCGGCGUUAGAUAAGUUGGCGGAGCUCCAAAAGGAAGCAGGACCCUCUGUCUUUCUACUGCGCAUGAUGUCCAUCGGACGUGCGGCUAAGACUGUGGUUGUUGGAGCUGCCAAGUUGACACUUGUCUAUGUCGCUGCCGCUGUUGCUUUUGGUGGCGAUGGGGUAGAAGCCGAGGCUGUUACCAAGGAAAACAAGUGA